AGGGGGAAUAGCUGUGCUGCAAGGGAGGAACCUGCAGAUGAGCGAGCCUGCUUUCCCGGAGAGAUAGGUGGGAAGAGCAGGGCACUCUCCUGAGCAAAUGAAGUGUCCCAGUCCCAACUGAAGGAUAAGAGUAGAAAACAAGAGGAAUACUCAACAUUCUGCAUAAAGGCAAAAUAAAAUACUUGAGCAUCCUGGGGGAAGGGAGAAGGAAGGUUCAGUGACA